UCAGCCAAAUAGCAAGAUACCCUGUAAUGGCUGCUGUGUCCUGUGUUGGUCAAUAGGUGGCAGAGAGAAGAGAGGCUACAUCUAUGAUCAGUGUUCUGACCAAUGAACAUCUGAAUGAUUAGUAAGCUAACAUU